UACGGAGGGGGCUAGCGUUGUUCGGAAUUACUGGGCGUAAAGCGCGCGUAGGCGGCUUUGUAAGUCAGGGGUGAAAUCCUGGAGCUCAACUCCAGAACUGCCUUUGAUACUGAGAAGCUUGAGUCCGGGAGAGGUGAGUGGAACUGCGAGUGUAGAGGUGAAAUUCGUAGAUAUUCGCAAGAACACCAGUGGCGAAGGCGGCUCACUGGCCCGGUACUGACGCUGAGGUGCGAAAGCGUGGGGAGCAAACAGG
rnacentral:rRNA from 1 species